rnacentral:rRNA from 1 species
CACUCCUGCGGGAGGCAGCAGUGAGGAAUAUUGGACAAUGGGUGGAAGCCUGAUCCAGCCAUCCCGAGUGCAGGAAGACGGCCCUAUGGGUUGUAAACUGCUUUUAUCUGGGGAUAAACCUACUUACGUGUAAGUAGCUGAAGGUACCAGAAGAAUAAGCACCGGCUAACUCCGUGCCAGCAGCCGCGGUAAUACGGAGGGUGCAAGCGUUAUCCGGAUUUAUUGGGUUUAAAGGGUCCGUAGGCGGACUGAUAAGUCAGUGGUGAAAUCCGACAGCUUAACUGUCGAACUGCCAUUGAUACUGUUAGUCUUGAGUAAGGUUGAAGUGGCUGGAAUAAGUAGUGUAGCGGUGAAAUGCAUAGAUAUUACUUAGAACACCAAUUGCGAAGGCAGGUCACUAAGUCUUAACUGACGCUGAUGGACGAAAGCGUGGGGAGCGAACAGGAUUAGAAACCCCAGUAGUCCC